UAUAACUUUAUAUUAACUACUCAAUGUAAAUAUAGAUACAGUAAGCUACAAGUUAAAAUUAAAGGAACGCUAUCUGUCUUUAUAUUAAUAAAUUGAUUGAAUGAAAGUGUGAUGUGUGAAGUUGGUUUCAGAUGAAAGACAAUGACCCAUCGAGCGUGCAUACCCGCUUACACGAAAACCUUAAAAACUGUGUAAUAUUUCCACGCAACGUAUUGUAAUUUUAGUCAAGUCUGCCUUAUCUCUCGCAUCAUGGCGUCUGGUGAGUGUUCCUUCUUCAGGCGAGACUACAACAAUACUUUCGCACAGAUCGUAAAUCUGUCGUUCAACCAGUAUCUCAUUCGAGAUGUUUCUUCAUCGUUUAUUUUCUUUACAAACAGAUAUUCUUGGUAAACAUGAAUAUCUAAUUAAAAGAUUAUCAAUAAUCGAAUCUCAGAUCGGUGUAUCUCGAGCUACUUGAGCAAAUAGACGAGUAAAACUUACGUCCAGAGACAAUUAACCUUGGAUACUAUCCACGACACUAAAAUAAACAUGAUAAUAGAACAGAUGUAUAACUCGUUGGAUAAAAUAUGAUUGCGAUUCUAUCGACAGUAGUAUGAGACGUUGCGUUCCUAUUUGCUAGAUUCUUUAACUCAUUAAGAAGGUACUUUGAUUUAGAAUGCCACUUUUUACAUAUUUUUAAAGAUUUUUUUGUAUUAUUUCUUGCACACAUAGUUGUUAACGCUCGAAGAAUAUUCAACGUCUUUUUCAAGUGAAAAUAAUCAUUAUUAAUUAUUAGUUAUUAGUUACUAGAUAUUAGUUAUCAAUUAUUUGUCAUUACAUGCAAGCAUUGGAAUAAUUGGUUAGAAUUGCAUAAAUGCAAAGGUAUUGAAGGACGUAAACAAAGUAAUUUAGAUAUCGUUUUGCCAAUGUAGAACAAACAUAAUAGAAUAAUAGUGUAUGUUAAAUAAGAAGUAUGUUAAGUGUAAUCUACAAAUUUUAAGCGUAUUUAUAAUAUAACGAUCAUUUUAGGUUCUUAAGUCCCUCAAAUGCUUUUAUACGAGUAAAUUGUAUGGGAUUUCGGUCCGAAUUUUUCCAUGGAACUGCGCCAAUAGAAAGUCGAAACUCGUCGCGUGAUUUUAAAUCUCGACCUGAAUAAUUGCGCUCCAACCUCGGGGAAUUGUGUUUUUUUUUUUUUUUUCUUUGAUAACUUCCUGUUGGUAUCAUCCUCGAUGAACGUACAUAACAAUGAUAAUACGACGUCGCGUGUCGCCGGCAAUUUUACGUUUUGUGAUUUACAAAAUUGAAAGAUAAACAGUAGUUUGCAUAUUUCUUAACAAUUUUACGGACGACAUUUUCCUUAUUUUUAGGAUGACGGAAUAAUUGAGAUUCCUUUUAUGUGUGACUCUAUUGACUUUAUGACUUUAUGAGUGACUCUAUUAUUCAGAAAGAUGUAGCGUUCUUUCGACAGUUUCGAUAUUCUGUUAGGUUGAUGCAUAUGAAAUACCGUUUCCUCCAAAUUUGCUAUCGACGUAUUAAAGAAGAAGAAAUUUACUAUAAAUCGUAUACGUGGGUAUAUUGAAUGUUGAGAAUCUUCAAGAUUUCUAAUAAAAAAAAGAAUUUAACGAUUAAUCGUCAACAGGUCCAUUCUACAAAUGUUUGACCUGUAGAACUUUCACCUCUAAUUCUUAUAAAUCUGAAAUAAUGAAAUCAAUUAUUAUUUAGGAAAAUGCAUUGAAUCACGCGAAAAGUUUUCGUUUUCGUUGAACGCAUGAUCUUUUAAAAAAAAAUUACGUUAAAAUUUUAUUUAAGAAAAAAAAGGAAUUUCAUACGUAUCAACAUGAAAUUAUCCAACAAGUAUACGACGUUGUUUCAAUUUCAUAUAAACCGGUAAUUCUAGAAGACAUUUACAGAUAAACCGACGACGAUUCACUGAAUGAAAAAUAUAAAAUAGUACGUUAAGAUUGUUGAAUGUCGAGCAACGAGUGCAGCCGGAGGAACAACGUAGUAUUUAAGAAAAAUGCAAGAAUUCCAUGCAACUGUGGAUGGGAAGUGAGAUUCGGUUACGGUGUCGCGGUUACGUUGGCCAUCUUCGAGGCUAAACGUUUUUUCAUGUUGAUCCUGGAGAUAUUUGCCGAAUGGCAAAUCAUUCGAUUCGCAGGUGGUCUACGACCAGUCAUAUUUACGUUAAUAAACGUCAGCUUGGGUUUACCGACUGCUCUAAUUACUGUACGCAGUAUACGAUCGCGAAAAGUACCACGCUGCUGCGCGGAAACAAGACGAACGCUAAAAUGCUUGUUAAUAGUGAUCGCGAUAUGCGCCAUAAUGAACGCGGCUACUCUGGUCUCCAUAGGAUAUCACAUGAACGUCAGACAAGAAACGUUAAUCGACAUUUUCAACAAUUCGAUGCAACUGUACGUGAGUGCAUCGUCUUACAAGUACGCGCUCGACGAGAUACAAUUCAUCUUUCAAUGCUGCGGCCAUUCCUCCUACACAGAUUGGUUUCUCUUUGACUGGCAGGGAGUAGACUAUGCUUCGCGAGAUGAAAUGGCUGUGCAAAGUCCAGUAUCUGACGAAGAAUAUAGAGACCGAAGUGUCCCGUUUAGCUGCUGUAAUUUACGUGCAAUGACACCGUGCGAGCACACGGAGAUCUUGGAGACUGACGUGAAAACCAUAAAUACGAAUGGCUGCGUCGAAGUCGUUACACCUGUCAUCCUUAGGAUCGUCAUCGUCGCUUACGUCAUGACCAGCACGCUUGUAAUCAUUCAGAUCUUCUUAGCCUUCUUAAUUACAAAGAUCAUACGGAAACUUUUAUGCGGGACGUGUCUAACGUACCAUUUUCCAAAAACCUUCGCCAAUGAGUCCACCAGCGCAUCAUUAGAUGCUACAAGUUCGGAAGCAGAUGGACCAGGCCCCAGCACCUCCUCCUCAAACUGGGAACAACAACCGAAGUCUACAAAGAAACGCCAUAAACGUAUACGAAGCAACAAACGCAUCCCAUCAAACAAAAAUAAUUAUCCAAGAAAUAAAAGCAACUCCAAAGACGAUUCUACUUCCUCGUCGCCAUUCGACUCUUCGCGUGGGUCCAAAUACUCCAGUCGUAUCUCUAGAAUCCUCGAUGCCGCUAGAAUCAGACCAAGUACUCACGAGGAGCACACGAUAUUCAAGAAACGAUUGCGCGACGAUGGAACGCGUUGAACAAACGAACUACCUAUCAUUCGCGUGUUUAUUCCAUCCGUCGUACAAAUCAAAUCACGUCACUGCUGAUGUUUUACGAGCGUUUAGCUACAUAUAUUUGCGUCUAAAAAAAGCAUGAGCGGGUUAAACAUGGAAUAAACUGGCGUUCUCGAAGAAUCGGAAUAGGUAUAAUGAUCAUUUCCUGGAGGAACAGCUGGUAAGCACUGCGAAGCGAGGAGGAUCUUGUCGAUGUCUGAAAAACAGAAUUUUCUGUCCAAGAUAUUCGAAGAAGACUCGAGGAAAUUUAAUCGAAAGACGGGCUACAAUUUUGCAAAUUAUUGGAUGAAGAAAUAGGAAGACAGCUGUUAAGAGGUAGCUAAUUAUUAUGUAUAUAUAAGAAAAUAAAAUUCGCUCCAUGUUAUAAGAAAAAUGAUAAUAAACGCGUGGAAGAGGCGUUAAGACACUAAGAGAUUAACUAUGCGUCUUCGAUAACAAUGAAACAUAAAUUCUGUGAAGAAUAUUCAAAGAAGAUUCGGGGAAAUUCGAUCGAGAGAUGAGAUGGAAUUUUUUCGAUAUUGGAAAGAGAAACACGAAGAAGAAUGAUGAUAAACACGUGGAAACAGCGUUAAGACACGGCUAACUACGCGUCUUCGAUAACAAUGAAAUACAAAUUAUAAUGAUUAGAAGUAAGCGACGACAGCGAAGAAGACAUGCGUGGUGGGGAUCGACGAAUCUUGCGUUUAGUAACACAAGAUCGUCUACUGGAGUGCAGUACGAUUCAAAGCACCGUGGAAGGCGCAUUGGUAAAGUCGCUAAUCCCAAGUUGCAUAUAGAUAUAGUCGUACUACUUUGUGUCUUUAACGAAACGACUCGUAACAGUGAAUUUGCUCCAAAUUGUGGCAUUCGGUGGGUGAGUUCGCACGUGGUUGAAUGAUCGGCAUACAUGCAUUAAGCACGACCCACGUAUUUUCCGUCCGUAUAGUGGUGCUAGUUGAUCGAACCUAAGCGGCGCGAUCACACACAAGAGAUCAACAAGAAAGAAAGAGAAGAGUUAUAGGGGGAAGAAAAGGGCGGCACACGCACGAAAAAAGAAGCGAUCGAGUGAACGGAACAGAGAGAAAGAUCGGGGACAAGAUACGAAAUUGCGAGGGCAGCCGAAGACCGUGAGACGAAGAAGGAAACUAGUUAAGGAGUAACAUAGAAAGAGACAGCAACAGAAAUCUCAUUUCGACCGAGUAACUAGCCACA